rnacentral:rRNA from 1 species
GAUCUCAGUUCUAGUCGGGCGGUCCGCCUAACGGCGGUAACUGCCCGUUCUGAACAAGCCAGCCGGUUUCCCUUGAUGAUCUUCACCGGUUGUCUCGGUUGACCGGCAAGUUUACUUUGAAUAAAUUAGAGUGCUCAAAGCAGGCGUGACACCUGAACAAUGGUGCAUGGAAUAAUGGAAUAGGACCUCGGUUCUAUUUUGUUGGUUUUCGGAACACGAGGUAAUGAUUAAGAGGAACAGACGGGGGCAUUCGUAUUGCGACGCUAGAGGUGAAAUUCUUGGACCGUCGCAAGACGAACUACUGCGAAAGCAUUUGCCAAGAAUGUUUCCAUUAAUCAAGAACGAAAGUUAGAGGAUCGAAGGCGAUCAGAUACCGCCCUAGUUCUAACCAUAAACGAUGCCAGCCAGCGAUCCGGCUGUGUUCCUCAAAUGACACGCCGGGCAGCUUCCGGGAAACCAAAGCUUUUGGGUUCCGGGGGAAGUAUGGUUGCAAAGCUGAA